AAAACGUCAUCACAUAACUUAAAACUUCUUAAAAGACAUGAUUUACAAUAUAAACAUCCUUAUUACAUCAUAAGGGUCUCAACGACAAUUUACUUAUAUUAAUAACAUUUUACUUGUAUAACAACACAUCUUUUAUUUUAUUGGUAUACAUAAUUGUCUAACUUGUAAGAUGAAAUUUGACUGACUUUGUAUUUCUGUUUUUCUUUUUUUAAAGAAAAUCAAUUUGGCUUGCCAUCCCCGAUGCGUUUUCUCUCUGCAACUCAUCUUCCCCAAUUCUAUCAAAGGAAAAAACUCAUCUCCCCAGUUUUCUUCAUUUAUCCUCUGCAAAUUCAACCCCUAAAACUUCAAUUUUCUCUUCCCCAAAAGACUCCAGCCGCGCGUCUCUCUCCAAUCCCCAGCUUCAAAUCUUGAGGUAAAACUGACCCACCCUGCCACCAAAAACCUCAUUGCCUGAGCACAACUCAUCAUCUCCACCAACGUCGUUGCCAUGGUUGUCCUCACUAAACUCACAUCCGCCUGCACGCCUUCCGAUGUAGACUUCAACCACUAGAAUUACCAAAGCGCUUUCUCUCCUCUACAAUCUCGGUCAAAGUUCGACACAUCGCCCUUUAUCAUCAGCGUCGCCGGUGCCGACGAUAAGUUUCGCCGCCAACAAUAUGUGCCUUUCCGCUGUCACCCACCGAUGAAGGUUACCGGAUAAACUUGUCCUAUUCUUCGGUCACAGAUGUAGGGCUGUUAUCUCUCGCAAACAUCAACCGCCUUCAGAACAUGACUAUUUUGCACUUGACAGGAUUGAGUCCAAAAUUGUUAAUCCUCAUUGCUGAUCAAUUAUAUUUGCUAUAGUUGUUUGGUAAAAAUUAUGUUUAGUACCUCACACAAAACAUGGAACACUGAUCAAAGGCUUUUUAAUUAUAUCAUCAAAAUCAAAAGGCUUGAAGCCAAUUUGGAAUAUGCAUUACAUAGCUAAACUGUACUACUAACAAAAAAGGAACAAUCACAGACUAAUACUGCUGGAGCUGCCUGGAGGGAAUGCUCAAGUGAUGAGGCACUUAAGUGAAGGGAUCACCAAAUUUUGAGUUAAAGGAAUGCUUCUCUUCCAUCUUCACUAGAUUUUGGAUUCAAGCCAUCCAAUUCAAAUUUUCACAACCUGCAUACUCUGACUUAUUGAAGUGAUUGAAGAGCUUCUUUAUCUCCAUCUUUGAUAGAAUCUACAUCAAACUAUGAGUUAGCAGUAACCAAGUAGACUAUAUGUAAAUAGACAAAAUUUCACACUAGUGUUUUUCACCAGUAAAAGGAAAUAACUCAAGUGAUGCUAUAACAAAAACAGCACCUAAGCAAACUAAAAACAACCCAGCAAGUUUUGAAACUAAAUAAUCAGUACUUCAUUACGUAAUUGCCAUGUUAAACAUUUUAACUUCAGCAAACAGAAGUGAAACUAAAUAUUGUAUUUGAGAUAGCUGCACCCACACAAUCCACAUAUGUAUUUGAGAACAAUAAAGUGUUAUGAAGUGAGUGACUCAUUUACUCCACGAGUGUUAUGAGGUACCAUAUAUACAAUUUCUAUGGACAGUACUUCAUGCUGAAAUGACACUAACACUAACAAAUAAACAAAAGGGUAAUGAUUGGCUACACAAGUAAAUAAAAAAAAACGUAGAGCUUGUUUACUUAUGUCCUUGUUAAUUUUAGUGGAUACCUCCAUUUGUCUAUUCCAGUACAUUUUUGCAGAACUGACCAAACACAGAUUUGCAUAACAAGCUACACAAGUAAAUAAAACCACUCAAAUGGCUUUCAUAGUUAACAGGUAUGAAGAUAGAUCUAGCUAGAGAAUUGUCAAGCAAUUGCCUUGAGUUUUACAAGGAAACAACUCCCUAGUCAAUUGCUUUGAGUCAAUAAUC